rnacentral:rRNA from 1 species
AUUGAACGCUGGCGGCAUGCUUUACACAUGCCAGUCGAACGGUAACAGGCCGCAAGGUGCUGACGAGUGGCGAACGGGUGAGUAAUGCAUCGGAACGUGCCCAGUCGUGGGGGAUAACUACUCGAAAGAGUAGCUAAUACCGCAUACGAUCUAUGGAUGAAAGCGGGGGACCGUAAGGCCUCGCGCGAUUGGAGCGGCCGAUGUCAGAUUAGGUAGUUGGUGGGGUAAAGGCUCACCAAGCCAACGAUCUGUAGCUGGUCUGAGAGGACGACCAGCCACACUGGGACUGAGACACGGCCCAGACUCCUACGGGAGGCAGCAGUGGGGAAUUUUGGACAAUGGGCGCAAGCCUGCUCCAGCAAUGCCGCGUGGAGGAAGAAGGCCUUCGGGUUGUAAACUGCUUUUGUACGGAACGAAACGGCUCUGGUUAAUACCCGGGGCUAAUGACGGUACCGUAAGAAUAAGCACCGGCUAACUACGUG